AAACUUUCAACAACGGAUCUCUUGGUUCUCGCAUCGAUGAAGAACGCAGCGAAAUGCGAUAAGUAAUGUGAAUUGCAGAAUUCAGUGAAUCAUCGAAUCUUUGAACGCACCUUGCACCUUUUGGUAUUCCGAAAGGUACAUCUGUUUGAGUGUCAUGG
rnacentral:rRNA from 2 species